UUGUUGGAGAGUUUGAUCCUGGCUCAGGACGAACGCUGGCGGCGUGCUUAACACAUGCAAGUCGAGCGGAAAGGCCCUUCGGGGUACUCGAGCGGCGAACGGGUGAGUAACACGUGAGUAACCUGCCCUGGACUUUGGGAUAACCCUCGGAAACGGGGGCUAAUACCGGAUACGACCUUGGACCGCAUGGUCUUUUGGUGGAAAGUUUUUCGGUCUGGGAUGGGCUCGCGGCCUAUCAGCUUGUUGGUGGGGUGAUGGCCUACCAAGGCGACGACGGGUAGCCGGCCUGAGAGGGC
rnacentral:rRNA from 1 species